rnacentral:tRNA from 1 species
GCAUUCAUAGCUCAGUGGCAAAGCAUCUGCUUUGCAUUCAGAAUGUCCCAGGUUCAAAUCCCCAGCAUCUCCA